GCCUCCGUGGAGCAAGGCAGCUCGCUCCCACCGUCUGGAAGGUAGAACCAUGGCGAUGGGAGAGCCGGCGGUUCGACCCCGCCCGGAGGCA